AGUCACCUGGGCUGUAUCAUUUUUUCCCUUCACCAUUUGCUGUGCCAUCUCCUCCUACACAGCCGACUCAGCCUCCUAUUCCACCAUCUGCUUCACCAUUUCCUGGGCCAUAUUCUGGGCCAUCUCCUGGGCCAUAUCCUGGGCCACAUCUUGGGCCAUCUCUUGGGCCAUAUCCUGGGCCAUAUCCUGGGCCAUCUCCUGGGCCACCUCUUGGGCCACCUCUUGGGCCACCUCCUGAGCCAUCUCCUGGGCCAUCUCCUGAGGUAGCUGCUUCACAGCCCACUCAUCUACGUACUCCAUUAUCUGGAUCAGACACUCAUUCUCCUCAGCUGAAGGACGAGGUUCCAUGUCGAUUGUAUUUGGUAGAUCCAACUAGUGGAGAGACUUGUCUAGUGGCAGAUGCAUAUUCUUAUGCUUUUGAUGAGACCACUACAGUUCAUGGGUCUAGAAUGAUGAAUGAUCACCUGAAAGUGAAAAUUCAUCGAAUUAUAGAGAAAUAUGGUCAUUUGCCACUACCUGUUCCCGUCCCUGCAUAUGAGAUCGACACUACAGCUACUGCUUUGGGUACUUGGGUGCAAUGGCCAAAAAAUUUAGCACAAAUGUUAAGUGAUGAGGGAUUUCGGGGGAGGCUGUUAGAUCUUCUAGCCAGUUGCAUUCAUCAGCCGGUUCGGCUUCUCAGUUUAGUCCAGUUAUCGACGAUCGAUCGUUCUUGGACUCCCUUACUGAGGACUGCAGGGAGUUAGCAGAUACGCUUGCCCUUGCCGUCGCAGACGAUGAUGCUGUUGGUGUUACCUUGCCGAGAUCCUUGUUCCAUUAUUUGACAGAUGAUGGCACCGCUUUUCUGACCAAGGAGGAUAUUGGUCAGUUUUUAAGAGGAGAAAUGAUUAAUAUUUCUAUUAUCCAAGUGUACAUGAGGGCUACGCAGUCGGACUUGGCUGGAUUUGGGGAUUCUAUUGGACGUGUUUGUUGGAUGUGUCCGCAAAGCACCGUUAUGGAGUCGCAUUCAUCAUCGGAGGAGGUAACAAAGUACAUUCUGCAUGCUAUGGUUGGAUGCGUCGAUGUAAAUGCUAGUAUCAUGUUCGCGCCAAUCUUUCAAGACCAACAUUGGAUGCUCUUGUCAUAUGUCCCUUGCCUGGGAUAGUUUAUAUCUUCGAUUCUGCCAGCUAUCACAAACAGCGGAAGUUAAAGCUUAAAUUGCCUAUGAUAGCUGCUUUUAGGAGGUUUCGGAUGAGCGGCCACAAAGUUCGUCGAGAGAAGCUUUUGUGGAAAUAUGUUGAGUGCCCGCAACAACAAGGAGGCACGGAGUGCGGUUAUUUUGUGAUGCGGUACAUUUUUGACGUACUCGCUUCAUAUUUUGGUUCGUUGGAUAUGGACAAAGUUGCUCAAACCUUUACCAAAGAUCCUUAUACGGAGGAUCAAAUCAAUGAGGUGAAGAAUAAGUGGGCAAGAUACUUUGUUGAUGAGUGCAUUGCAUAGGUUAGUUAGUUUAUGUUAAUAUUCUUUUUUUUGUUCUAACUUUAGACGAAC